AGUGGGAUAGCUGGGUCAAACGGUUAUUCUAUUCCAAAUUUUCUAAGGAAUCUUCAUAUUGCUUUCCAAAGUGGUUGCACCUUUUUGCAGUCCCACCAGCAGU
rnacentral:pre_miRNA from 1 species